ACCAUUAUGGUGCAAUGAUCUGAACACUGGACUAGUACCCCGGAAGUCCAGGGUUCAAAUCCCUGCUCUGCCA